CCUACGGGCGGCAGCAGUAGGGAAUCUUCCACAAUGGGCGAAAGCCUGAUGGAGCAACGCCGCGUGGGUGAAGAAGGUCUUCGGAUCGUAAAACCCUGUUGUUAGAGAAGAAAGUGCGUGAGAGUACCUGUUCACGUUUCGACGGUAUCUAACCAGAAAGCCCCGGCUAACUACGUGCCAGCAGCCGCGGUAAUACGUAGGUGGCAAGCGUUAUCCGGAUUUAUUGGGCGUAAAGGGAACGCAGGCGGUCUUUUAAGUCUGAUGUGAAAGCCUUCGGCUUAACCGGAGUAGUGCAUUGGAAACUGGGAGACUUGAGUGCAGAAGAGGAGAGUGGAACUCCAGGUGUAGCGGUGAAAUGCGUAGAUAUAUGGAAGAACACCAGUGGCGAAAGCGGCUCUCUGGGCUGUAACUGACGCUGAGGUUCGAAAGCGUGGGUAGCAAACAGGAUUAGAUACCCGAGUAGUC
rnacentral:rRNA from 1 species